rnacentral:rRNA from 1 species
UACGUGAGAGGCAAGCGUUAUUCGUCAUUAAUGGGUCUAAAGGGUACGUAGGCGGUAUAGUAAAUCUUUUCUUAUAUAACACGUGAGAGUGGAUCUGAUAAUGCUAAACUAGAGUCAAAAGGAGUAACAAAUAGUACAAGUGGAGUGUAACAAUACGUAGAUACUUGAAGGGUUGCGAAGUGGCGAAGGCAUGUUACUAGUGAAGACUGACGCUGAGGUACGAAGGCAUGGAUAGCGAAUGGG